CAAUAGGGUGAGUAGUUGCCUCAGGAAGCUUGGGGUACCCCCUUUGA
rfam:Recombinant Hepacivirus C SA13fl, complete genome